UACCAGCAGCCCGAGUGGUCGGGGCGAUUAUUGGGCCUAAAGCAUCCGUAGCCGGUCAUGCAAGUCUUCCGUUAAAUCCAGCCGCUCAACGGUUGGGCUGCGGAGGAUACUACGUGGCUAGGAGGCGGGAGAGGCAAGCGGUACUCAGUGGGUAGGGGUAAAAUGCUUUGAUCCAUUGAAGACCACCAGUGGCGAAGGCGGCUUGCCAGAACGCGCUCGACGGUGAGGGAUGAAAGCUGGGGGAGCAAACCGG
rnacentral:rRNA from 1 species